UCCCUUUACUCAGCCAAGGCGACUGCAAGUCUUCGAGGUUGCCAGGACCACCAAAGCCUUCCACUCAAUGCACGUGCCUCAGGGCACUUCACCAGGCCUUGGCUUUUGAACAUUGAGGUUGUUUCCAGAUUUUUGCUGAGUUUGUUUCAACCAGCAGACAGUUAAGCCGGGCUCCUGCUAAGUGCUUCCCAGUGCAUGGAUGAAAGACAAUGAACCUGGUCCUGCCGCCCUUCCAGAGCCCACCUGCUCCAGACAGAGGCAGGCGUCAGUCGCAGAAGCAGAGGAUUCUGCCACAGCAGGGAGGGCAAGAAGACAUGAUUUACACGAAUGUAAAGUUGGUUUCCAGCCAGCCUGGAGCAGCAGUCUUGCACGUACUAUCCAAGGGAAAUCGAGGAAGACGUGAGCAGAGCUGUGCUGAUUCCAUGCCUCCGACAGGACCCUGAGAUAACAGCAAGGACGGGAGCAGAAAGCAGUCCUGGUGAGACUUUGCACCUGGAACCGUCCGUGAAGCCCUUGCAGCUCACGUCCCCUCCCUCCCGCUCUCCACUUCCCUCAUUCUAUUCCCUCAGCCCCUCUUUAAAAACCCCUCAGUAAAUCCAAGUCUUUGAGAUGGUUUUAGCCCGGGCACUCUCCUUCAGGUUGACCAGAGAGAUGGGUGAGCCUAACAUCUCCCCUCAGGUCACCUGUGUUCCUGAAUAAAAGCUGACUUCCAUUUCACCAA